UGAAUCAGGUCAGGGAACCAAAGUCCCCUGUUUAUCCUCAGUUCAGGUACAUCAUGACCAGUCAGAGUGGAAGCUUUCCCAACACUGCCCUGACAAUGUGACUCAACUUUGAACUGGAAGGUCACCACUAGGGGUGUAAGAAGUUUGUUCAGUCUCUAACUACUUCUGUCCAAGGUGUCU
rnacentral:sRNA from 1 species